UAGCGUAUAUUAAAGUUGUUGCGGUUAAAAAGCUCGUAGUUGGAUUUCUGUUGAGGACUGUCGGUCCGUACUAUGUGCGUGUAUCUGAUUUGGCCUCGGCAUCCUCUCGAAAUACGUCACUGCGCUUGAUUGCGUGGUGCGGAGUUCGAGACUUUUACUUUGAGGAAAUUAGAGUGUUCACGGCAGGCAAUCGCCUUGAAUAUAUUAGCAUGGAAUAAUAAUAUAGGGUCUUGGUUCUAUUUUGUUGGUUUCUAGGACUAAGAUAAUGAUUAAUAGGGACAACUGGGGGCAUUCGUAUUAACGCGUC
rnacentral:rRNA from 1 species